rnacentral:lncRNA from 1 species
AUGCCUUCCCACAAAGGAUCUGUGGUGGCACAGGGCAACAACAACAAAAAAACCUGACAUGGUGGAACUGGUUGAACUGGGACUCCCUGCUAGAAGAGAAGAGCAAACAGGUAAUCGCCAACCCAAAAUUAAAGAAGAGGGAAUAGAUCUAGGGUCUCAGGAGAAAGAGAAGGUGGUACAGGUACUGAUGUUUCCCCUGCAAGCCCAACAUCCCAUGGAGAAAAUGGAGGAGUUUGUGUACAAGAUCCGGGAGGGACAUUGGAAGAUCAUCCCAAAUGCUGGCUCCCUGACUUGAAGUACACUGAUGCCUGCUACAUGACAAUGGACCACUCACGCCCGCCCUCAGGCUUACUCAAAGAGCAUCUCCACUCCAUUCAGAAACUGGCACUGUCUAAAGACAUCUGCUUGGUUUCAUGCUGGAAAUCUUCACCAUGCUCAGACGAAAUAUUCAUUUCAUGGCCCCAUCCACAGGAGAAGGUGGCUUGGAGAAUGCUCUUGUUGGGUGCAGUGCUCUGUCUCAAUUUCUCCUAGCUCUUUCAUACCACCUAUUCUCAUUCAGAGAAAGUUUUGGACAUAUUCCAAACUGGGCUAUUCAGACAUCACUCUCCUGAUGAUGGGGAGCCUUGUCUCUUGGCUGUAUUACUCCUUGUACUGUUCCCCAAAACCACGGCACAUCCACCUCUCCACUGCCCUUGUCCUGGGCAUUUUUGCACCCUUGUGACACAGCAGAACCCGUUUCCACUCCUAAGCACUAGCGGACAAGAGCAACAGUGUUCCUGGGACUUGACUUGGGUGGUGGUGUGCCUACUGUGGGCUUUACUAUCACUAAGGGCUGUGUCAAGGCCACCACAGUGGGCCAGAUGGGCUGGUUCUUCCUCAUGGCUGUGAUGGACAUCACCAGAGUUGCCUUAAUGCAACUCAAAUUCCUGAGCAGUAUUUUCCUGGAAAAUUUGACAUGUGAUUCUGGUUGCACCCAAUUUUCCAUGCCCUGAUGAUGGUAGCAGCCUUUGUACAUGUCUCCAACUUUCAGAAAUCCUGUCAUGGACUAGAAAGUGGCUAUACUGAUGUCUUCUU